rnacentral:rRNA from 1 species
AUUGAACGCUGGCGGAAUGCUUUACACAUGCAAGUCGAACGGCAGCACGGACUUCGGUCUGGUGGCGAGUGGCGAACGGGUGAGCAAUGUAUCGGAACGUGCCCAGUCGUGGGGGAUAACGUAGUGAAAAUUACGCUAAUACCGCAUACGAUCCAUGGAUGAAAGCGGGGGAUCGCAAGACCUCGCGCGAUUGGAGCGGCCGAUAUCAGAUUAGGUAGUUGGUGGGGUAAAGGCCCACCAAGCCAACGAUCUGUAGCUGGUCUGAGAGGACGACCAGCCACACUGGAACUGAGACACGGUCCAGAAUCCGACGGGAGGCAGCCGUGGGGAAUUUUGGACAAUGGGCGAAAGCCUGAUCCAGCCAUUCCGCGUGCAGGAUGAAGGCCCUCGGGUUGUAAACUGCUUUUGUACAGAACGAAAAGGUUUCUACUAAUACUAGGAGCUCAUGACGGUACUGUAAGAAUAAGCACCGGCUAACUACGUGCCAGCCGCCGCAGUAA